UGGGUAAGCGGAAAGAUGGUGGGCCGCAGAACAUGUGCUUGUUUGGUGUCAUAUGUCUGCCGACCAUCACCUUU
rnacentral:pre_miRNA from 1 species